GUGAAAAUAUUGGCCCCCUCCUCCAGACAAGUAAACGAGGCCGAAAUUUUACGCACAGCCAAGAUGUUCACAAUUGAUGAAGUCGCUUUUCUAGAUCCUGAUUUACACAAGAAUGAUACGUUUUUCUGUAAAGCGUGUGUCAAGUGUUUUGACACACGUUAUCAAUGGUGGUAUAGUGCGUGUCCCAAUUGUGUAAAACAAAAGCAUAAAGACUUAAUGCUGGACAACUCAUCUGCUAAAGCAUCCAAACCAAA